ACUCAAAUGAAUUGACGGGGGCCCGCACAAGCAGCGGAGCGUGUGGUUUAAUUCGAGGCUACACGAAGAACCUUACCUGGGUUAGACAGGACACCCGUAGGCCGCCGAAAGGCGACCGACCCGCAAGGGCAGUGUCCCAGGUGCUGCAUGGCUGUCGUCAGCUCGUGCCGUGAGGUGUUAGGUUAAGUCCUGUAACGAGCGCAACCCUCGGGUCUAGUUACACGUUGUCUAGACCGACUGCCCGUGACAAGCGGGAGGAAGGUGGGGAUGACGUCAAGUCAGCAUGGCCUUGAUAUCCAGGGCUACACACACGCUACAAUGGCCGGUACAAUGGGUCGCCAAGCGGCAACGCGGAGCCAAUCCACCAAAGCCGGUCUCAGUUCGGAUUGGGGGCUGCAACCCGCCCCCAUGAAGUCGGAGUUGCUAGUAACCGCGGGUCAGCCAUACCGCGGUGAAUACGUUCCCGGGCCUUGUACACACCGCCCGU
rnacentral:rRNA from 1 species